AGCAGAGCCGCGGGAAUACAGAGGGUGCGAGCGUUAAUCGGAUUUACUGGGCGUAAAGCGUGCGUAGGCGGCUUUUUAAGUCGGAUGUGAAAUCCCUGAGCUUAACUUAGGAAUUGCAUUCGAUACUGGGAAGCUAGAGUAUGGGAGAGGAUGGUAGAAUUCCAGGUGUAGCGGUGAAAUGCGUAGAGAUCUGGAGGAAUACCGAUGGCGAAGGCAGCCAUCUGGCCUAAUACUGACGCUGAGGUACGAAAGCAUGGGGAGCAAACAGGAUUAGAUACCCCUGUAGUCCCUGUCUCUUAUACA
rnacentral:rRNA from 1 species